rnacentral:lncRNA from 1 species
AUGGCACCGGCGCCGCGCUCCCCUGACGGCAGCGGCAGCCCCCCCCCCCCCCCCCCCCCCCCCCCCCCCCCCGACGGCAGCGGCAGCUGUCGCCUUCCCGGGCCGCCCGUCCCGCAUGAGAAGCGCCCAUGUGCGGGACCGGGCGGGGCGAGCCCGGCCCCAUUGAUCCCGGCCCCAUUGAUCCCGGCCCCAUUGAUCCCGGCAGCGGCCCCGAGCGAACCGACAGCUGCGCGGGGGGAGCGCCCGGUGCGCGCCCCGACGGGGAGAGGAGAGGAGAGGAGAGGAGAGAGCGCGGGGCUGUGCAGCGCCCGCAGGAGCUGCGGGGAAACGUCUCGGGCCUCGCCCGGCCCGAGGGCAGCCCUGGAACAGCCUCUCCCGGCCCGAGGGCAGCCCUGGAACAGCCUCUCCCGGCCCGAGGGCAGCCCUGGAACAGCCUCUCCCGGCCCGAGGGCAGCCCUGGAACAGCCUCUCCCGGCCCGAGGGCAGCCCUGGAACAGCCUCUCCCGGCCCGAGGGCAGCCCUGGAACAGCCUCUCCCGGCCCGAGGGCAGCCCUGGAACAGCCUCUCCCGGCCCGAGGGCAGCCCUGGAACAGCCUCUCCCGGCCCGAGGGCAGCCCUGGAACAGCCUCUCCCGGCCCGAGGGCAGCCCUGGAACAGCCUCUCCCGGCCCGAGGGCAGCCCUGGAACAGCCUCUCCCGGCCCGAGGGCAGCCCUGGAACAGCCUCUCCCGGCCCGAGGGCAGCCCUGGAACAGCCUCUCCCGGCCCGAGGGCAGCCCUGGAACAGCCUCUCCCGGCCCGAGGGCAGCCCUGGAACAGCCUCUCCCGGCCCGAGGGCAGCCCUGGAACAGCCUCUCCCGGCCCGAGGGCAGCCCUGGAACAGCCUCUCCCGGCCCGAGGGCAGCCCUGGAACAGCCUCUCCCGGCCCGAGGGCAGCCCCGAACCGCCUCUCCCGGCCCGGCCAGGCGCUGCAUCCCCGCGCAAGCGAACUUGCUGCUUUCCUUUUUCCUUCUGACUUCAAAUUUAUGCCUUCCCCGUCUUUUUUUUUUUUUGUUUGUUUUCUUUUUUGUUGUUGUUGUUGUUUUAGGUUUUUUAUUUGUUUUGGUUUUUUUUUUUUUAAUCCCCUCAAGGACUAG